ACGAAGAGUUUGAUCCUGGCUUAGAACUAACGCUGGCAGUGCGUCUUAAGCAUGCAAGUCAGACGGAAUGUAGCAAUACAUUCAGUGGCGAACGGGUGAGUAACGCGUGGAUAAUCUACCUACGAGAUGGGGAUAACUAUUAGAAAUAGUAGCUAAUACCGAAUAAAGUCAAUUAAGAUGUUAGUUGAUGAAAGGAAGCCUUUAAAGCUUCGCUUGUAGAUGAGUCUGCGUCUUAUUAGCUAGUUGGUGGGGUAAGAGCCUACCAAGGCUAUGAUAAGUAACCGGCCUGAGAGGGUGAUCGGUCACACUGGAACUGAGAUACGGUCCAGACUCCUACGGGAGGCAGCAGCUAAGAAUCUUCCGCAAUGGGCGAAAGCCUGACGGAGCGACACUGCGUGAACGAAGAAGGUCGAAAGAUUGUAAAGUUCUUUUAUAAGUGAGGAAUAAGCUUUGUAGGAAAUGACAAAGCGAUGACGUUAAUUUAUGAAUAAGCCCCGGCUAAUUACGUGCCAGCAGCCGCGGUAAUACGUAAGGGGCGAGCGUUGUUCGGGAUCAUUGGGCGUAAAGGGUGAGUAGGCGGAUAUGCAAGUCUAUGUGUAAAAUACCACAGCUCAACUGUGGAACUAUGCUGGAAACUGCAUGACUAGAGUCUGAUAGGGGAAGUUAGAAUUCCUGGUGUAAGGGUGGAAUCUGUUGAUAUCAGGAAGAAUACCAGAGGCGAAGGCGAACUUCUAGGUCAAGACUGACGCUGAGUCACGAAAGCGUAGGGAGCAAACAGGAUUAGAUACCCUGGUAGUCUACGCUGUAAACGAUGCACACUUGGUGUUAAUCGAAAGGUUAGUACCGAAGCUAACGUGUUAAGUGUGCCGCCUGGGGAGUAUGUUCGCAAGAAUGAAACUCAAAGGAAUUGACGGGGGCCCGCACAAGCGGUGGAGCAUGUGGUUUAAUUCGAUGAUACGCGAGGAACCUUACCAGGGCUUGACAUAUACAGGAUAUAGUUAGAGAUAACUAUUCCCCGUUUGGGGUCUGUAUACAGGUGCUGCAUGGUUGUCGUCAGCUCGUGCCGUGAGGUGUUGGGUUAAGUCCCGCAACGAGCGCAACCCUUGUUGUCUGUUACCAGCAUGUAAAGAUGGGGACUCAGACGAGACUGCCGGUGAUAAGCCGGAGGAAGGUGAGGAUGACGUCAAAUCAUCAUGGCCCUUAUGUCCUGGGCUACACACGUGCUACAAUGGCCUGUACAAAGCGAUGCGAAACAGUGAUGUGAAGCAAAACGCAGAAAGCAGGUCUCAGUCCAGAUUGAAGUCUGAAACUCGGCUUCAUGAAGUUGGAAUCGCUAGUAAUCGUAUAUCAGAAUGAUACGGUGAAUACGUUCUCGGGCCUUGUACACACCGCCCGUCACACCACCCGAGUUGAAGAUACCCGAAGCUAUUAUUCUAACCCGCAAGGGAGGAAGGUAUCUAAGGUAUGUUUAGUGAGGGGGGUGAAGUCGUAACAAGGUAGCCGUACUGGAAAGUGUGGCUGGAUCACCUCCUU
rnacentral:rRNA from 1 species